rnacentral:rRNA from 1 species
AGAAUUUUUCUCAAUGGGCGCAAGCCUGAAGGAGCGACGCCGCGUGGGGGAUGAAGGGUUUCGAUCCGUAAACCCCUGUCAUUCGUGAACAAUGGUUAUCCAUGAAUAGUGGAUGACUUGAUAGUAACGGAAGAGGAAGUGACGGCUAACUAUGUGCCAGCAGCCGCGGUAAUACAGAGGUCCCGAGCGUUGUUCGGAUUCACUGGGCGUAAAGGGUGCGUAGGUGGCAUGGUAAGUUUGAUGUGAAAGCUCAGGGCUUAACCCUGAAAUGGCAUUGAAUACUACGGUGCUGGAGGUUUGGAGGGGGGACUGGAAUUCUUGGUGUAGCAGUGAAAUGCGUAGAUAUCAAGAGGAACACCAGUGGCGAAGGCGAGUCCCUGGACAACACCUGACACUGAGGCACGAAAGCUAGGGGAGCAAAC